AACGCACAUUGCGCCCGCCAGUAUUCUGGCGGGCAUGCCUGUCUGAGCGUCAUUUCAACCCUCAAGCAACUUCUGCUUGGUGUUGGGGAUCGGCCGUCAAACGCCGCCCCCGAAAUCUAUUGGCGAUCUCGCUGUAGCUUCCUAUGCGUAGUAGUAACAUCUCGCAUCUGGAGAGCGGCGCGGUCAUGCCGUAAAACACCCAACUUCUCAGGUUGACCUCAGAUCAGGUAGGAAUACCCGCUGAACUUAA
rnacentral:misc_RNA from 3 species